CAGCAGCCGCGGUAACACGUAGGGUGCAAGCGUUAAUCGGAAUUACUGGGCGUAAAGCGUGCGUAGGUGGUGGUUUAAGUCCGUUGUGAAAGCCCUGGGCUCAACCUGGGAAUUGCAGUGGAUACUGGGUCACUAGAGUGUGGUAGAGGAUAGUGGAAUUUCCGGUGUAGCAGUGAAAUGCGUAGAGAUCGGAAGGAACAUCUGUGGCAAAGGCGACUAUCUGGGCCAACACUGACACUGAGGCACGAAAGCGUGGGGAGCAAACAGGAUUAGAUACCCCAGUAGUCCCUGUCUCUUAUAC
rnacentral:rRNA from 1 species